rnacentral:rRNA from 1 species
AGGACGAACGCUGGCGGCGUGCUUAACACAUGCAAGUCGUGGGGGGGGAGUGGGCAACCACAACCUCACCGGCGAACGGGUGCGUAACACGUGAGCAACCUACCGAUUUCUGGGGGAUAGCCGGCCCAACGGCCGGGUAAUACCGCAUACGCUCUUUGAGGGGAGUCCCUUAGAGAGGAAACCUCCGGGGGAAAUCGAGGGGCUCGCGGCCUAUCAGCUUGUUGGCGAGGUAAUGGCUCACCAAGGCUAUGACGGGUAGC